UGUGUGUUAGUGGAAGCGUCUGGAAAGGCGCGCGAUACAGGGUGACAGCCCCGUACACAAAAAUGCACAUGCUGUGAGCUCGAUGAGUAGGGCGGGACACGUGGUAUCCUGUCUGAAUAUGGGGGGACCAUCCUCCAAGGCUAAAUACUCCUGACUGACCGAUAGUGAACCAGUACCGUGAGGGAAAGGCGAAAAGAACCCCGGCGAGGGGAGUGAAAAAGAACCUGAAACCGUGUACGUACAAGCAGUGGGAGCACGCUUCGGCGUGUGACUGCGUACCUUUUGUAUAAUGGGUCAGCGACUUAUAUUCUGUAGCAAGGUUAACCGAAUAGGGGAGCCGAAGGGAAACCGAGUCUUAACUGGGCGUUAAGUUGCAGGGUAUAGACCCGAAACCCGGUGAUCUAGCCAUGGGCAGGUUGAAGGUUGGGUAACACUAACUGGAGGACCGAACCGACUAAUGUUGAAAAAUUAGCGGAUGACUUGUGGCUGGGGGUGAAAGGCCAAUCAAACCGGGAGAUAGCUGGUUCUCCCCGAAAGCUAUUUAGGUAGCGCCUCGUGAAUUCAUCUCCGGGGGUAGAGCACUGUUUCGGCAAGGGGGUCAUCCCGACUUACCAACCCGAUGCAAACUGCGAAUACCGGAGAAUGUUAUCACGGGAGACACACGGCGGGUGCUAACGUCCGUCGUGAAGAGGGAAACAACCCAGACCGCCAGCUAAGGUCCCAAAGUCAUGGUUAAGUGGGAAACGAUGUGGGAAGGCCCAGACAGCCAGGAUGUUGGCUUAGAAGCAGCCAUCAUUUAAAGAAAGCGUAAUAGCUCACUGGUCGAGUCGGCCUGCGCGGAAGAUGUAACGGGGCUAAACCAUGCACCGAAGCUGCGGCAGCGACGCUGAUGCGUUGUUGGGUAGGGGAGCGUUCUGUAAGCCUGUGAAGGUGUGCUGUGAGGCAUGCUGGAGGUAUCAGAAGUGCGAAUGCUGACAUAAGUAACGAUAAAGCGGGUGAAAAGCCCGCUCGCCGGAAGACCAAGGGUUCCUGUCCAACGUUAAUCGGGGCAGGGUGAGUCGACCCCUAAGGCGAGGCCGAAAGGCGUAGUCGAUGGGAAACAGGUUAAUAUUCCUGUACUUGGUGUUACUGCGAAGGGGGGACGAAGAAGGCUAUGUUGGCCGGGCGACGGUUGUCCCGGUUUAAGCGUGUAGGCUGGUUUUCCAGGCAAAUCCGGAAAAUCAAGGCUGAGGCGUGAUGACGAGGCACUACGGUGCUGAAGCAACAAAUGCCCUGCUUCCAGGAAAAGCCUCUAAGCAUCAGGUAACAUCAAAUCGUACCCCAAACCGACACAGGUGGUCAGGUAGAGAAUACCAAGGCGCUUGAGAGAACUCGGGUGAAGGAACUAGGCAAAAUGGUGCCGUAACUUCGGGAGAAGGCACGCUGAUAUGUAGGUGAAGUCCCUUGCGGAUGGAGCUGAAAUCAGUCGAAGAUACCAGCUGGCUGCAACUGUUUAUUAAAAACACAGCACUGUGCAAACACGAAAGUGGACGUAUACGGUGUGACGCCUGCCCGGUGCCGGAAGGUUAAUUGAUGGGGUUAGCGGUAACGCGAAGCUCUUGAUCGAAGCCCCGGUAAACGGCGGCCGUAACUAUAACGGUCCUAAGGUAGCGAAAUUCCUUGUCGGGUAAGUUCCGACCUGCACGAAUGGCGUAAUGAUGGCCAGGCUGUCUCCACCCGAGACUCAGUGAAAUUGAACUCGCUGUGAAGAUGCAGUGUACCCGCGGCAAGACGGAAAGACCCCGUGAACCUUUACUAUAGCUUGACACUGAACAUUGAGCCUUGAUGUGUAGGAUAGGUGGGAGGCUUUGAAGUGUGGACGCCAGUCUGCAUGGAGCCGACCUUGAAAUACCACCCUUUAAUGUUUGAUGUUCUAACGUUGACCCGUAAUCCGGGUUGCGGACAGUGUCUGGUGGGUAGUUUGACUGGGGCGGUCUCCUCCUAAAGAGUAACGGAGGAGCACGAAGGUUGGCUAAUCCUGGUCGGACAUCAGGAGGUUAGUGCAAUGGCAUAAGCCAGCUUGACUGCGAGCGUGACGGCGCGAGCAGGUGCGAAAGCAGGUCAUAGUGAUCCGGUGGUUCUGAAUGGAAGGGCCAUCGCUCAACGGAUAAAAGGUACUCCGGGGAUAACAGGCUGAUACCGCCCAAGAGUUCAUAUCGACGGCGGUGUUUGGCACCUCGAUGUCGGCUCAUCACAUCCUGGGGCUGAAGUAGGUCCCAAGGGUAUGGCUGUUCGCCAUUUAAAGUGGUACGCGAGCUGGGUUUAGAACGUCGUGAGACAGUUCGGUCCCUAUCUGCCGUGGGCGCUGGAGAAUUGAGGGGGGCUGCUCCUAGUACGAGAGGACCGGAGUGGACGCAUCACUGGUGUUCGGGUUGUCAUGCCAAUGGCA
rnacentral:rRNA from 1 species